rnacentral:rRNA from 1 species
UACGAAGGGGGCUAGCGUUGUUCGGAAUUACUGGGCGUAAAGCGCGUGUAGGCGGGUCUUUAAGUCAGGGGUGAAAUGCCAAGGCUCAACCUUGGAACUGCCUUUGAUACUGGAGAUCUUGAGUCCGGAAGAGGUGAGUGGAAUUGCGAGUGUAGAGGUGAAAUUCGUAGAUAUUCGCAAGAACACCAGUGGCGAAGGCGGCUCACUGGCCCGGAACUGACGCUGAGACGCGAAAGCGUGGGGAGCAAACAGG